rnacentral:rRNA from 1 species
CUGGCGGGUGCUACCAUGCAAGUCGAACGUGAUCCGCCCUUCGGGGUGGUGAAAGUGGCGCACGGGUGAGUAACGCGUGGAUAAUCUGCCCGAGGAUUUGGGAUAACAUCUCGAAAGGGGUGCUAAUACCGAAUAAGCCCACGGGGUCUACGGAUCUUGCGGGAAAAGGGGGGGACCUUCGGGCCUCCUGUCCUUGGAUGAGUCUGCGUACCAUUAGCUAGUUGGUGGGGUAAUGGCCUACCAAGGCGACGAUGGUUAGCUGGUCUGAGAGGAUGAUCAGCCACACUGGAACUGAGACACGGUCCAGACUCCUACGGGAGGCAGCAGUGGGGAAUUUUGCGCAAUGGGGGAAACCCUGACGCAGCAACGCCGCGUGGGUGAUGAAGGCCUUCGGGUCGUAAAGCUCUGUCUGGAGGGAAGAAAUGAUUGGGAGCUAAUACCUCUUGAUCUUGACGGUACCUCUGAAGGAAGCACCGGCUAACUCCGUGCCAGCAGCCGCGGUAAUACGGAGGGUGCAAGCGUUGUUCGGAAUUAUUGGGCGUAAAGCGCGUGUAGGCGGUCUUUUAAGUCUGAUGUGAAAGCCCCGGGCUCAACCUGGGAAGUGCAUUGGAAACUGGGAGGCUUGAGUACGGGAGAGGAGAGUGGAAUUCCUAGUGUAGGAGUGAAAUCCGUAGAUAUUAGGAGGAACACCGGUGGCGAAGGCGGCUCUCUGGACCGAUACUGACGCUGAGACGCGAAAGCGUGGGUAGCAAACAGGAUUAGAUACCCUGGUAGUCCACGCCGUAGACGAUGAGUACUAAGUGUUUGCGGGUAUUGACCC